CCUACGGGACGCAGCCGUGGGUAAUCUUUCACAAUUUCUUUCCCUCUGAUGCAGCGACGCCGCGUGAGUGAAGAAGUAAUUCGUUAUGUAAAGCUCUAUCCGCAGGGAAGAAAGUGACGGUACCUGAAAAAGAAGCUCCGGCUAAAUACGUGCCAGCAGCCGCGGUAAUACGUAUGGAGCAAGCGUUAUCCGGAUUUACUGGGUGUAAAGGGAGAGUAGGUGGCAGAGCAAGUCCGAAGUGAAAACCCAAAGCUCAACUAUGGGAAUGCUUUAGAAACUGCUCAGCUAGAGUGCAGGAGAGGCAA
rnacentral:rRNA from 1 species